rnacentral:rRNA from 1 species
UGCGGCUUAAUUUGACUCAACACGGGAAACCUCACCCGGCCCGGACACGGACAGGAUUGACAGAUUGAUAGCUCUUUCUCGAUUCCGUGGGUGGUGGUGCAUGGCCGUUCUUAGUUGGUGGAGCGAUUUGUCUGGUUAAUUCCGAUAACGAACGAGACUCUGGCAUGCUAACUAGUUACGCGACCCCCGAGCGGUCGGCGUCCCCCAACUUCUUAGAGGGACAAGUGGCGUUCAGCCACCCGAGAUUGAGCAAUAACAGGUCUGUGAUGCCCUUAGAUGUCCGGGGCUGCACGCGCGCUACACUGACUGGCUCAGCGUGUGCCUACCCUACGCCGGCAGGCGCGGGUAACCCGUUGAACCCCAUUCGUGAUGGGGAUCGGGGAUUGCAAUUAUUCCCCAUGAACGAGGAAUUCCC